GUGUGUCUUUCUGCCACUUCACCUCAGCAUACCUGACUUAGAUUGUGGGGGGAAAACAAUGCACUAUUUCAAGCCUCCUCUCUUCCUCCUCCUUCUAGGCCAGGCAUCACCUAAUGCUGACCUUUCAAAAGAGGAAGCCCAUUUAGUGAAAGCUCACACAAUGUCGGGAAAGUGAAAGUUUCGGUUGUGCAAAAAGAAGAAGUUUACUGGCCUCUUACUGGAAAAGACCCCCUAACUCCACCUAGACUUCAGUUCCACAUAUUUGGCAAACAAUAGAAAGCCUCAGCAAGCUGUGUUUACACCACCAGAAGGGAAAUAAGAGGCGAGGAACUCAGCAGAUCCUUCAAAAAAUCUUCUCUUCACAAAGAAAAUAACAGCACAUGUAUUUGGAAGAACAUGACGACUGGAGUAAAUGGUUCCCAUGGUAACAGAGGAGUCUGGCUGCCACCCAGACCCUGCGCUGUGCUGGAACAGACAGAGCAUUCUGGGAUAUAAUACAUCAGAACUACCACCAUCACCUUACCUAACCCUGCCUCCCACACACACGUUUAAGAGUGCAGAGCCGCUUGCAUAACUGUAUCAAUGUGUUAUAUUUGGAAAUAGUAUCC
ensembl:lncRNA